rnacentral:rRNA from 1 species
CUUGAACGCUGGCGGCAGGCCUAACACAUGCAAGUCGAACGAGUGGCGGACGGGUGAGUAAUGUCUGGGAAACUGCCUGGUAGUGGGGGAUAACGUCCGGAAACGGUAGCUAAUACCGCAUACCAUCGGAUGUGCCCAGAUGGGAUUAGCUAGUAGGUGGGGUAAAGGCUCACCUAGGCGACGAUCCCUAGCUGGUCUGAGAGGAUGACCAGCCACACGGGUACUGAGACAAGGGCCAGAGUCCUACGGGAGGCAGCAGUGGGGAAUAUUGCACAAUGGUCGCAAGCCUGAUGCAGCCAGGCCGCGUGUAUGAAGAAGGCCUGCGGGUUGUAAAGUCCUUUCAGCGGGGAGGCGUUACCCGCAGAGGAAGCACCGGCUAACUCCGUGCCAGCAGCCGCGGUAAUUC